AAUUAUGGCAGACAGCAGUGGGUAUGGCUUCUGGAGUGGGCGUGUUCUUGAUGGGAUUGACAGCUGUCUAUCUCUGCAGGAGGACCAAGAAAACCAAUUCUCAGAGACCUACAGCCAGACAGGAUGAUCACAGCCAAUGUGAUUUGGUGAUGGGAGCUAUGAGCAGUGCAGGCAUGUUGGAUUCAAGGGAUGCUGGGAUCUGUUCUCUCAUCACCUCUGUACCGUCCACGUUUUUGCCCUCGGG